AGCCAUGCCACCCACGAAAAAGAGGAAAGCUCUAUCUUACGAUGAGAAAAGAACAAUACUGUUAAAGUUCAAGAGUGAUCCUAAAUUGAGAGUUGCAACAGUAGCUCGUGAGUAUGGGAUCAAUGAGUCCACAAUAAGGACUAUCAGGAAAAUGGAAGAAAAGAUCCUGUCAUACCAUACUCACCUGUCGUCCAAUUUAUCAGACACUACUAUAAAAAAAGCUCGGCUAUCGAAAUAUGAAAAGUUAGACAGUGUUCUGUACAAGUGGGUGUACACAAAAAGCAGCUGGCUGUGAGACAAACCAGCGAAUCCUCCGGAUAAAAGCUACUGAGUUGUCGAAAGAACUUUACGGGGACGACACACCUUUCAAAGCUUCUCACGGGUGGGUUUGGCGAUUUAGGAAGAGGCACUGUUUGCGUAUUCUAAGAGUGCAAGAUGAUAAGAAAGACGCAGACAAAUCAAAUCAAAGUAAAUCAGACAAUGUUACUGCAGAUGAGUUCAUGAGGACAAUUGCAAAGUUGUUAGAAAAACUACGAAGAAAAGCUGCCACCAUGUCUUGAGAAGAGUUUAGUGUGCAAACAACAUAACAUUUUGUGCAGAUAGGCUUCAUCAUAUCAGUUUGUUCACAAAAUGUGGAUGUAAUAUGCAGUUUUACUUGCUCUUGUGCAGUCAACAAAGUUACCAAGUAAAGGGUUUUUCUACCCAUGGCUGCCACUCAUAGCUUUUAUAGCCGAAUUAUGCUAUAAAAAUAUUCACUUGUAUUCCUGUUCUUCUAUUGGCUAAUUGAUGAAAGGUCUCAAAACAACCAAACAAAAAUUUAAAUUUAAUGCCAUUUAUUACAAUUUUAUUCUUCUUUAAAAAUACGAUUAUUGAAGCAUUCUUGUUAAAUAAUAGAUGAUAAGAUGUUGUAUUUUGAAUUUUUGACUAACUGAUCUAGUAAAUUAUACAGUUAUAUACAGAUUAGAAAGUGUUUUAGAAACAUGCAAACUAUAUUGGUUUUAACACAAAGAAGAAGUUUUUAUAAUAUAAAAUACCUUUUAUACACAUUAUAGUGUACGGUAAACGGUGUAG